UACGUAGGGGGCUAGCGUUGCUCGGAAUUACUGGGCGUAAAGGGCGCGUAGGCGGCCGAUCAAGUCGGAGGUGAAAGCCCAGGGCUCAACCCUGGAAUGGCCUUCGAUACUGGUUGGCUCGAGACCGGAAGAGGUAAGUGGAACUGCGAGUGUAGAGGUGAAAUUCGUAGAUAUUCGCAAGAACACCAGUGGCGAAGGCGGCUUACUGGUCCGGUUCUGACGCUGAGGCGCGAAAGCGUGGGGAGCAAACAGG
rnacentral:rRNA from 1 species